AAUAUACUCCCUCCGUCCAAAAAUACUUGUCAUCAAAAUGGAUGAAAAUGAAUGUAUCUAAAACUAAAAUACAUCCAGAUACAUCCAUUUCAAUGACAAGUAUUUCCGGACGGAGGGAGUACAAA
rnacentral:pre_miRNA from 1 species